rnacentral:rRNA from 1 species
CCUACGGGAGGCAGCAGUCGAGAAUCAUUCACAAUGGGGGAAACCCUGAUGGUGCGACGCCGCGUGGGGGAAUGAAGGUCUUCGGAUUGUAAACCCCUGUCAUGUGGGAGCAAAUUAAAAAGAUAGUACCACAAGAGGAAGAGACUGCUAACUCUGUGCCAGCAGCCGCGGUAAUACAGAGGUCUCAAGCGUUGUUCGGAAUCACUGGGCGUAAGGCGUGCGUAGGCUGUUUCGUAAGUCGUGUGUGAAAGGCGCGGGCUCAACCCGCGGACGGCACAUGAUACUGCGAGACUAGAGUAAUGGAGGGGGAACCGGAAUUCUCGGUGUAGCAGUGAAAUGCGUAGAUAUCGAGAGGAACACUCGUGGCGAAGGCGGGUUCCUGGACAGUAACUGACGCUGAGGCACGAAGGCCAGGGGAGCGAAAGGGAUUAGAUACCCGAGUAGUC